GUAACUAACACUAUAGGUACAUAGUGUACGUAGCCUUCUCUUCAGCAGAUCAAGUUUUUUUAAUGCCCAAGAGGUAUGCAAUGGGCAAGUCUGUUCACUUGCAAAGAUUUGAGGGAUGGAGACUAAAAAUAAAUAGAGUUUUUCUUCUAAAGCAUGCUUACUGCAGUUUUAAGUAAACACCUAUUGUACACAGAGUGAGUGCCUUGCUACUCCAAGUGCUAGCAGUGGCCUACAGAAUACUGUAUUGUUAAUGCCUCUGGCUACUUCAAAUCUAUCUUGUCUUUAAUGUGUCUUGUGAGUAACUCUCUCUUUUGUUUUGUUUUUUAUUUCUGUUCCUCACCAGGCAUUUUUCACACUUGCACGGGACAUUAUGACAAAGCUCAACAGAAAAAUGAAUGACAACAGUUCAUCAGGGGCAGGUGGGCCAGUAAAAAUAACAGAAAAUCGAUCUAAGAAGAGCAGCUUCUUUCGAUGCACGCUACUUUGAUGAACUUCUAAUGAUAGACUGCAGCACACUUAGAACCUUUUCUGCUUCUUUGAAAGCACAGGGUCACAAAGCCUCAGAAAUAAUACCACCAAGCUGCUGCUGAGAGCUCCAUUGAACGUAGACUGCGAUACACAAAAUACCGAGUGGAUUUUGCUCACUAAGCCUAUUGACCUGUCAGGCUCUUCUUUCUCAGAUAUGGAAGCUAUGAAGUGGAGACACAAAUGCAAGAGUUAACCUGUUUUCCUUUUUUACUUUCUGUUUUAUUGCCUGUUGCAAAAGCUGCUAUGUUUCUUUUAACUUUGCACAUCCAUAUUGGCCUCUUACUGCCUGUUACAGCACAAUCUUACAUUUGUAUUUGCACAGUUUCACUUGUAAGUAAGAUUCUUAACAGAUUUGUGCAGGUUUUUCUUUCUCUUUUUAAACAAAUUUAUUUUCAAGCAGAAGAGCCAGGGGAAAAAUUAUGUCUCACUUCCAUUAUUUUCUAUGCUGUAUACUUGUGGCCAUGACUGCAGUAUGGAUGUUGACACUCUAGUGAUGAGAAUUACUGGAACAAUUGGCAUUUAACAAUUUGUAUGCAUUUUGUCUCUUAGAUGCACAAAUCUGUUCAUGCAGAAGCGAUGACAUUCUAUUCUGAAUGUAGUACGUUGCUUUUCUUUCUUUACCGGACUUAGCAAAGUUGUGUUCUGAAUUGCCAGUCACUGUCUUGAUUCACAGAUGCACCUUUCAGUUAUUUGAAUAAACACAGUGUCUUUCC
rnacentral:lncRNA from 1 species